rnacentral:rRNA from 1 species
UUAGCUGAGAGGUGGUGCGAUGGCCGUCGUCAGUUCGUACUGCGAAGCAUCCUGUUAAGUCAGGCAACGAGCGAGACCCACGUCCACAGUUGCCAGCAUACCCUCCGGGGUGAUGGGUACACUGUGGAGACCGCCGCUGCUAAAGCGGAGGAAGGAGUGGGCAACGGUAGGUCAGUAUGCCCCGAAUCUCCCGGGCUACACGCGGGCUACAAUGGUUGGUACAAUGGGCAUCUACCCCGAAAGGGGAAGGAAAUCUCUUAAAGCCAAUCGUAGUUCGGAUUGAGGGCUGCAACCCGCCCUCAUGAAGCUGGAAUCCGUAGUAAUCGCGUUUCAACAGAACGCGGUGAAUACGUCCCUGCUCCUU